UCUGUCAAUGUGACGUUUGAGGUAUGGAUUCAAGUCAGCGUAGAUGUUUGAAACCGAGCUGAGAUAAACCUUUCGUAGACCUUUCAUGCUCUCAUAUACGUCCUUUGUAUACCGUGUAAUAUUCAGCAAUUGAGUGGCAUAUCCCGGCAUACCAGAUACCGGAAAUAAAGAAAGGUAUGAGAAAGACUCGAAGCAGUGAACCUCGAGAACGAACCGAGUCCCAGAUUGGCCAGGCGGAGGUCCCACGCUGGCGUCACCACUCGAGGGACGAGGCGCCGCGCGGUCACGUGGAUAUCUGAAUUGAGCGUUAAUCACCUCAGUAAUUGAACACCAGUGUCAUUAGUUUGUGUAGUGGUCGUUAAUUGUACUUUGCAGUAGUGCAGGCAAAGGAAGCGUUAGACUCUCUAGCUUCCAUGGAGCUGACUUUGCCGUGGGUACUGAGCGCUGGCAGCAGGGAGUGUGGUGCUGGAGGCCUGUUCCCUGUCGUGAGUUACUCCGUGGCGACGCCGGACAGCAGUAGGAGCGAGACCCGUGAUGUUCCUCCAGCUUGCACAAUACAAAUGAUCGAGAUUGACAUUUUUCUAUCUGUUGAGCGGCAGACGGCGCGGACAGAAGGAAUGACAGAAACUCCUCGCCUCUUCUCUCCUGCAGCACAGCCAGGAGGACACUGGGGAAUAAAUCCUUCACCACGCAGCUUUAAUGUAAACCUUAAAAGGAUGCGUCGUAAUCUUUAUCCUGGAAUCCUAUCUUCGUCGUCUUUGUCCUCCUUGCCUCAGCCCAGACCAUCUAGUGUCUCUUGCUUCAGAUGAGGCUGUGCAGUUUGUCACAUAAAUAAGUUUACUGCUG